rnacentral:rRNA from 1 species
UACGUAGGGGGCUAGCGUUGUCCGGAUUUAUUGGGCGUAAAGGGCGCGUAGGCGGCCUGGCAAGUCAAAGGUGAAAUCCCUCGGCUCAACUGAGGAACUGCCUUUGAAACUGCCAGGCUUGAGGCCGGGAGGGGGUAGCGGAAUUCCCAGUGUAGCGGUGAAAUGCGUAGAUAUUGGGAGGAACACCAGUGGCGAAGGCGGCUACCUGGACCGGUUCUGACGCUGAUGCGCGAAAGCGUGGGUAGCAAACAGG